rnacentral:rRNA from 1 species
CGCGGCCUAUCAGCUUGUUGGUGAGGUAACGGCUCACCAAGGCAUUGACGGGUAGCUGGUCUGAGAGGACGAUCAGCCACACUGGGACUGAGACACGACCCAGACUCCUGCGGGAGGCAGCAGUGGGGAAUCUUGCGCAAUGGGCGAAAGCCUGACGCAGCAACGCCGCGUGGGGGAUGAAGGCUCUCGGGUUGUAAACCCCUUUCAGCAGGGACGAAAUUGACGGUACCUGCAGAAGAAGCCCCGGCCAACUACGUGCCAGCAGCCGCGGUGACACGUAGGGGGCGAGCGUUGUCCGGAAUUAUUGGGCGUAAAGAGCUCGUAGGCGGUUUAGUAAGUCAGAUGUGAAAGGUUGGGGCUCAACCCUAAGACUGCAUCCGAUACUGCUAUGACUAGAGUCCGGUAGAGGAGUGUGGAAUUCCUGGUGUAGCGGUGAAAUGCGCAGAUAUCAGGAGGAACACCGACGGCGAAGGCAGCACUCUGGGCCGGUACUGACGCUCAGGAGCGAAAGCGUGGGUAGCAAACAGGAUUAGAUACCCUGGUAGUCCACGCCGUAAACGUUGGGCACUAGGUGUGGGGCCUUAUCAACGGGUUCCGUGCCGUAGCUAACGCAUUAAGUGCCCCGCCUGGGGAGUACGG